GUAAACCUGAGGGUCCGAAAAGAAACCACUGUGCAAGAGAAAUAAACGAGAGAAGAUAGUGAGUGAGAUAAAUCUUCCUCCUCCGUGUGCAACCAUCGUUCUGGAUAUCCAUGCUCCAUCUUCUGCAAACCCUAAUACCGAUCAGUUUCCCUCCACUAUCGGCCUUGAAUUUCCCUCUUAUUGCAACCUUCUUAUUCCCUCCAUAUCCUCACUAAACCUUUCUCGUCUCCCCAAACCCACAUUUUUUUUUAAAAUUUUCAUAAACAAUCUCUAGGGUUUGCAAAUUCUCAAUUAGUCUAAGACAGAAUGUCUCUCCCUCCCAUGGACUGUAUAUACGUUACAGAAGAAUAUAUGCACGAAUGGAAAAGCGGAAACCAAAACUUUCGGUUCCCUAACCCCGUGCCUAUGCUUCGCUUCCUUUACGAGCUCUGCUGGACCAUGGUUAGGGGAGAAUUGCCGUUUCAGAAGUGCAAAGUGGCACUAGAUUCUGUAGAGUUUUCGGAUAGAGUGUCUGGUGAAGAAUUAGCUUCGAAUUUUGCAGAUAUCAUUACCCAAAUGGCUCAAGAUCUUACAAUGCCUGGAGAAUACCGUGCUCGCCUUAUAAAGUUGGCAAAGUGGGUGGUGGAAUCUGCAUUGGUCCCAUUAAGGCUUUUCCAAGAGCGUUGUGAGGAGGAAUUUCUGUGGGAGGCUGAAAUGAUAAAGAUAAAAGCUCAGGAUUUGAAGGGCAAAGAGGUUAGAGUAAACACUCGUCUUCUGUAUCAGCAAACAAAAUUUAACCUUCUCCGAGAAGAAAGUGAGGGCUAUGCCAAACUGGUUACCCUUCUUUGUCGAGGUUAUGAAGAUACAACUGAAAAUGCAUCAGCGGCAACAAUAGGCAUCCUUAAGUCAUUAAUUGGGCAUUUUGAUCUGGACCCAAACCGUGUCUUUGAUAUCGUUUUAGACUGUUUUGAACUUCAGCCUGACAACACUAUCUUCUUGGAGUUGAUUCCUAUCUUUCCCAAGUCACAUGCAUCCCAAAUUCUUGGUUUUAAGUUUCAAUAUUAUCAGCGGAUGGAAGUAAAUAGUCCUGUACCAUUUGGGCUCUAUAAGCUUACAGCUUUGUUGGUGAAGGAAGACUUCAUUGAUCUUGAUAGCAUAUAUGCUCAUCUACUUCCUCGGGAUGAUGAGGCUUUUGAGCAUUAUAAUGCUGUUUCUUCCAAGCGACUGGAUGAGGCUAACAAAAUUGGAAAAAUAAAUUUGGCUGCUACUGGAAAGGACCUCAUGGAUGAUGAGAAACAAGGAGAUGUGACAAUUGAUCUUUUUGCCGCUUUUGACAUGGAAACUGAGGCUGUCACCGAAAGGUCCUCAGAGCUUGAAAGCAGUCAAACUUUGGGGUUGCUUACUGGUUUUCUCUCGGUGGAUGACUGGUAUCAUGCUCACAUAUUGUUUGAUCGUCUCUCUCCACUAAAUCCAGUGGCACAUGUUCAAAUAUGCAAUGGGUUGUUUAGGCUCAUUGAAAAGUCAAUCUCAGCAGCAUAUGAUAUCAUUCGUCAAUCACAUCUCCAAAAUUUUGGGUCUCCUUCAGGAGCUGGUAUUGAUUCUAUGGACACAAGUAGUUCUCUUGGCCAUAGGUCAUUCAUUGAUCUUCCAAAAGAGCUUUUUCAGAUGCUUGCGACUACUGGACCUUAUCUUUACCGUGAUGCAAUAUUGCUGCAGAAGAUAUGUAGAGUAUUGAGAGGUUACUAUUUGUCUGCACUUGAGCUUGUAAGCAGCAGUGAUGGAGCUACAAAUGGUGAACCUGUCAUUACAGGAAACCCUCGUCCCCACCUAAGGGAAGCUAGGUUGAGGGUAGAGGAAACAUUGGGGACUUGCCUACUUCCUUCUCUGCAGUUGAUACCUGCAAAUCCGGCAGUUGGGCAGGAGAUUUGGGAAGUAAUGAGUCUGCUUCCAUAUGAGGUGCGCUAUCGUUUAUAUGGUGAAUGGGAGAAAGAUGAUGAACGGAAUCCAAUGGUUUUAGCUGCAAGACAAACAGCUAAAUUGGACACCAGAAGGAUUUUAAAGAGGCUUGCGAAGGAAAAUUUGAAGCAGCUGGGUCGGAUGGUUGCAAAACUAGCUCAUGCUAAUCCAAUGACUGUGCUUCGAACAAUUGUUCACCAGAUUGAGGCAUAUCGGGAUAUGAUCACCCCUGUUGUGGAUGCUUUCAAGUAUUUGACACAGCUCGAGUAUGAUAUCUUGGAAUAUGUCGUAAUUGAGCGCCUGGCACAAGGCGGUCGUGAUAAACUAAAAGACGAUGGCCUUAAUUUGUCAGACUGGCUUCAAUCACUGGCGUCAUUUUGGGGUCACCUAUUUAACUCGGCAAAAGCAGGAUGACUGGAGCUGAGGUGUUGUGGGACAUUGCUGGUUUCUCUGAGUCCUGAUUGGCUUGGCUUAGUUUCAACUUCUUGGCUUGGCAAUUGAAUAGGCUUCAAUCGGAGAAACUUCAUGGGAUUUUGUAAUAAACUGAAUCAAAUGGAUGGGAAAUGAUAUCUGAUGGGGAGGGGCUGUCAGAGGAAUAUCAUCUCAGUGAUGCUAUUCUUUUCUCAAGUUUCACAUAUACUGUUUUUAAAGAUGUGGAAGACAGUUUCAAAAUGUUGGAGUGAGAUUCUAUAACAUGACUACCUAGGUGAAAGAUCACUUUGGAAAUCAAGUAUAGGCUGAUGUGCUAAUGAGGGGAUUGGUUAGGAAGGAUUCCAUUAUCAAACUUCAUAUAGGUGCUAUUCUUUUUUCCCUUUUCAAGUUUUUCAUAAUGGGAAAUGGGGAUUAAUAUCUUUUAGAUGAGAUUGAUGAUUAUGACCUGCUUAGAUGGAAGAUGAUUUCUGAUCAAAAGAGGGUAUUUAUGGAAAACUGUUAUGCUUUGCCUUGCGACUUGGAAGCUGGGUGCCAUUUACAUAGAUGGCAUUGUGAAGACCGGUGGAGAAGUGUGUUUAAUUUGAAUCAUACAAAUGGGAUGGGAAUUUUUAAUUAAUGGUUCGAAGUGGAGCUGUGGAUCUUUGCAAUUUGAUAUUAUUCUUCAGGUGACAUGUAGUGCGAUGAAAUUGAUACCUUAAUUUGCUGGCUAUCUGAAGAGCUUAAAUUUAGGUGGGAGGUUGAAACUAGAUGGCAUUUGGUUGUGGGUUUGGUAGAUUCCUGUCAGCAUGUUCUUUCAUCUUGGCUUUUGUUUCAGUUUGUGUCUUUCCUGGUAUUUGUGGCUGGAAUGUUGCAAGAAAUACAUUUUUUGUCAGAUGUGAUGUUUAAAUAUAAUUUUGCCACAAGACAUCCAGCAGAUGGGUACUCAUCUAUCAUGAGAUGUUUAAAUAUAAUCUUGUUUUGAUGGUGGCUUUUGGGUACUUCAAGGUGCAAUGGAAUCCUUCAUAAUGGAAUUCUAUGGGUAACCAUUGUGCAAUGCGAUGCAUAGCAUGCAAUCUGUGGAAAUAAAUCAAUUUCUGUGGACACAACGCUCAGAAAUAAUGUCAAAGCUCUCAUGGUUGCCAGGGCUGUUCAGUUGUGCAUUCAUUGGGCUAGUUUUUCAUGGAGUCCAUAAAAGUUUGGUGCAAGAAGUAUCCAUCUAUGGAAUUGAGGGGUCUUUUCCAGUAUCUUGUGAACCAGCUUAAGAAGGGUCAGGGAAUUGAGCUUGUUCUUCUGCAGGAGCUCAUCCAACAAAUGGCUAAUGUUCAGUACACCGAGAACCUAACAGAGGAACAGUUGGAUGCAAUGGCAGGGAGUGAGACUCUCCGGUAUCAGGCUACUUCUUUUGGUGUAACACGGAAUAACAAGGCUUUGAUAAAGUCGACUAAUAGGCUACGGGACUCAUUGCUUCCAAAGGAUGAAUCAAAGUUGGCAAUCCCUCUUUUAUUACUUAUUGCUCAACAUCGUUCAGUGGUUGUCAUUAAUGCAGAGGCACCGUACAUUAAAAUGGUUAGUGAGCAGUUUGAUAGAUGCCAUGGAACUCUUCUUCAGUAUGUGGAAUUUCUUUGUAGUGCUGUGACACCAGCCAAUGCUUAUGCCCAGUUGAUUCCAUCUCUUGAUGAUCUUGUACACCUUUACCACCUUGAUCCUGAGGUUGCUUUUUUAGUAUAUCGCCCUGUAAUGAGGCUCUUCAAGUGUGAGGGUAGUUCUGAUGUUUUCUGGCCUUUGGAUGACAAUGAAGUUGUGAACAGUACAACUACAAAUAUGGAGUGUGAGCAAGCAGAAUAUUCUGGCAAAGUGAUUUUGGAUCUUGGAUCUCCUCAGAAGCCUAUAAUGUAACAAUUUAAUCCCUAUCUUGUAAUUUUCUCGCAUUGUUAGCAUUUUGUUGCCCUUGCAUACGCUUACUAUUGUUCAGAGGAAUAGGUGGAAUAGUAACACCAUUCUAUACGCAAUGGAGAUUAAAUGUUUUUUGUGAAGAAUGUUUAUGAAUAAAUUCUAUUCAGGUGGUCUGAUCUUCUUGAAACUGUGAAAACAAUGUUGCCUUCAAAAGCCUGGAAUAGCCUCUCGCCUGAUCUCUAUGCAACUUUUUGGGGGCUCACAUUGUAUGAUCUAUAUGUUCCUAGAAAUCGCUAUGAGUCUGAAAUUGCAAAGCAGCAUGCGGCUCUUAAAGCUUUGGAAGAGAUUUCUGAUAAUUCGAGUUCCGCAAUAACUAAAAGGAAGAAAGACAAGGAAAGGAUUCAAGAAGCUCUAGAUCGUCUGACUAGUGAACUUCAUAGGCAUGAAGAAAAUGUUGCAUCGGUUCGUAGACGCCUGUCUCGUGAAAAAGACAAAUGGUUGAGUUCCUGCCCUGAUACUUUGAAAAUUAACAUGGAGUUCCUUCAGCGCUGCAUUUUCCCACGUUGUACUUUCAGCAUGCCAGAUGCUGUCUAUUGUGCUAUGUUUGUGCAUACUCUUCAUUCCCUUGGGACUCCAUUUUUCAACACAGUGAACCAUAUUGAUGUUCUGAUAUGCAAAACAUUACAACCUAUGAUUUGCUGUUGCACUGAAUAUGAAGCAGGAAGACUUGGGAAAUUUCUCUAUGAGACGUUAAAGAUUGCUUACUACUGGAAGAGUGAUGAAUCGAUAUAUGAACGUGAGUGUGGCAAUAUGCCUGGCUUUGCUGUGUAUUACAGAUUUCCAAACAGCCAACGUGUUACAUAUGGCCAGUUCAUCAAGGUGCACUGGAAAUGGAGUCAGAGAAUCUCACGGUUGUUGAUUCAGUGCUUGGAAUCAACUGAGUACAUGGAAAUUCGGAAUGCACUUAUUCUGUUGACGAAAAUUUCUGGUGUUUUCCCAGUUACCAAAAGGAGUGGGAUUAACCUUGAAAAGCGAGUGGCCAGGAUCAAAAGCGAUGAAAGAGAGGAUCUUAAAGUGUUGGCAACUGGUGUUGCUGCCGCUUUGGCUGCUAGAAAGCCUUCUUGGGUUACAGAUGAAGAAUUUGGCAUGGGAUACCUUGAAAUAAAGCCUCCGGCAGCUUCAAAGUCUUUGCCUAGUAAUAUAGGAGCUGGACAACAUAAUUCUGCCAUUAACGUCGCACAGAGUGAAUCUACUGGGGGAAGAGCAGUUGCCACAGUAACUCAUCAUGGAGAAUCUGGGAAUUCAGCCAGAGAACACAUAUCCAGAGCAAAACCUGCAGAUGGGAGGUCUGAUAGAACUGAAAGUGUCUCACAUGUGAAAUCUGACCCAGGACAUCAAAAAUUAAAAGGUGGAUCACUGGUUAAUGGGUUGGAUGUUCAUUCAUCUGUUUCUUCAGCUGCUAUAGUUGGGACCUCAAGAUCAACAGAGAAUCAAAAGCAAAUGGAUGAAUCAGCAAAUAAAAUAGUGGAUGAAAGCACAGGAAGAGCUGUCUUGAAGAACUCUAUGGAAUCUGAGGUAUUUUAUGUUUUGUGUUUGUUGUGUAUGAGUGUUAUUGGUUUCUCUGUUUCGGUGACAUCACUUGCCAUUAGAUUAUAGAAAUUGAGAGCCAUCUUGAUUAUAAAUUAUUCACCAUUGAUUACUGCAGCACAGGACUCUUCAUGGGUUAAACAUGCAGGGAAGGGUGCCUACUUAAAUUACCUGUUCUUUUGUCAUUUAUGUAUUUGUCAUUUCCUGUGUUUUAACUAUCAUGUUUGCAUUCAUAGCUAGCUAACAUUUAUAAUUUGACAUCCACUUUUUCUUCCCCUCUCCAAUGGAUUCACCAGCUGUCACAUGGGUACCUGCUCAGCAUUGAGCUGCCAACUCAAUAAAGAUUAAAGGAAACUAAAUUGACUAAAAUAAAAAGGAAAUGGGAUUCACCACCAAAUGCUAUGCAGGUGCCAAUGGAUCACCUAAAAUUAGCAUUUUGUGUUAUCAGAGAUGGGUCCAUGGGUUAAAUAUUAUUGGAUCUUUUCUUGGUGAAAUAGCAUGAAUGGUCUAAUGUGUCCAGCCUCUGUGUUAUUAGAAAGAAUAUUUAAGGGGUAUAGAGACUGGCCAAUAUCAGACCUUGGUCCUAAUUUCUGUUGUACUUCUGUUGAUUACUAUACAUUGAAGUAGGUAAGGAUUCUAUGAUUGGAUAGAAAAACAAAAAUUGAUUAAUCAUCAUAUAUUUAUUUGGUGGCUGUAUCUGCAUGAAUUAUUUCUCUAUUUAUUUAUGGGGGCAAAACUUAUCUUUUGAUCUACAAUCUGAAUCUAUUUGUUUAAAAUGUUGGAAGGAUUUAUUAUGUUCUGUUCUUUAUUUAUUAUUUGUUGGGAAGGUGAAAGCUUCAGCAAAACGGUCAGUGCCUGCUGGAUCUGUUAAAACCCCUAAACAAGAUCCUGCAAAAGAUGAAUCUAAAUCUGCAAAAGCAGUGGGUAGAACUCCUGGCACUUCCUCCCUUGACAAAGAUGUCCCUUCUCAUUUGUCAGAAGGAAGGCAAGGAAAUGUUGCUAAUGUUUCUUCUGCUGCCACUUCUAAUGGUAAUGCAGUUUCAGCAUCAGCUAGAGGCUCGACCUUAUCUGCAAGAACCUCUGAUGGUCAUGGUGGUGAAUUAAAGGUAGAUAGUGGAGCUGCCAAAUCUGUGGUAAAAGAUGAUGCCACUGAAGUUGCUGAUGUUCACAAGCCCCCUUCUCGACUUCUUCACUCUCCCCGGCAUGAUAGUUCUCUUUUGUCAUCAAAGUCUAGUGAUAAGCUACAGAAGAGAGCAAGUCCUGCUGAAGAUCCUGACAGAUUAAGCAAGCGCCGGAAAGGUGAUAUUGAGUUGAGAGAUUUAGAGGUUGAAGUUCGCAUCUCUGACAAAGAGAGGUCCAUGGAUGCUCGAUUAGUGGAUCUUGACAAAAUGGGGACUGAUGAACAAAGUAUGCAUAGGAGCACAGAUAAACUUAUGGAUAGGUCAAAAGACAAAAGCAAUGAGAGAUAUGACAGGGACUAUAGGGAAAGAUCAGACCGUCCUGAUAAGUCCCGUGGAGAUGAUGUUUUAGUGGAAAAAUCGAGGGAUAGGUCAAUGGAAAGAUAUGGAAGAGAGCAUUCUGUAGAGAGAGGGCAGGAGAGAGGUGCUGACAGGAGUUUUGACAGGCCCGCUGACAAAGCCAAAGAUGAACGAAACAAGGAUGAUCGUGGCAAGCUGCGGUACAGUGAUACAUCUAUGGAAAAAUCUCAUGGCGAUGAUCGAUUUUAUGGGCAAAACUUGCCACCUCCACCACCCUUGCCUCCUCAUGUGGUUCCCCAAUCAGUUAAUUCCAGUAGAAGAGAUGAAGAUGCUGACAGAAGGUUUGGAACUACCAGGCAUACUCAGAGGCUUUCUCCAAGGCAUGAGGAGAAAGAAAGACGACGCUCAGAAGAAAAUUCUUUGGUUUCACAAGAUGAUGCAAAACGUAGGAGAGAAGAUGAUUUUCGAGAUAGAAAAAGAGAAGAGCGAGAGGGGCUGUCAAUGAAGGUGGAGGAGAGGGAAAGAGAAAGGGAGAGGGAGAGGGAAAAAGUGAAUCUUUUGAAGGAGGAAAUGGAUGUUAGUGCUGCCUCUAAGAGAAGGAAACUUAAAAGAGAGCAUUUGCCAUCAGGGGAAGCUGGCGAGUAUUCUCCAGCUGCUCCACCACCUCCACCUCUUCCAAUUGGUAUGUCGCAAUCGUAUGAUGGAAGAGAUAGGGGGGAUAGAAAAGGAGCCAUGAUCCAGCGGUCAGGUUAUUUGGAGGAACCUCCAAUGAGGAUUCAUGGUAAAGAAGCAGCCAACAAGAUGACUCGUCGUGAUGCUGAUCCGUAUCCUUAAAUUCCAUUCUUGAGAAUGCAUUCAUGACUUAUUCACAUGCAUAUUCUGUUAAAAAAAUGUUUAAGCUGUGCCUAUGAUAACUGUCUUCCAAUAAAAAUCUAAUGUAGGUAGUCUACUUAAGUACUUAGCCUUGAUCUGGACCCAUCUGGAAUAUUGCCCUAAAAACUGGCACAGGGCUUGACCUGACCAUGUGACCUCCAAGGCAACCCAGGUUGUUAAUAGUAAACUCACUAAGGCCCGUACAGACAGUGUAGGACUCUGGGUUAUCCUUGAAGUCUUUGUUCUUGUGGUUUUGUAUUGAAUUGUCCAAUUUAACCAUCUAUUAUGUGAUUAUUGACAUUGAUCUUCAGUGGGCACAGCCUACUGAAAUCAUAUUAUAGCAUGCGUACCUUCUUAUAAUUUUGUCAUCUCAUGAAAAAAAAAAAAAAAGGUUAGGCUUGAAGCUUGAUCAUACAUUUGAAGUGAGAUUAUUUACCAGAAAUUGCCAGUCCUUAAUCUGGUUAUAGAAUGUAUGACCGAGAAUGGGAUGAUGACAAGAGGCAAAGAGCAGAGCCAAAGCGGAGGCACAGGAAGUAGUGUGCUGGAAACAAAUCAAGACAAGCUAGCUGAUUGGGUGAAUCAAUAUGGGUGUAUGUGAUUACUUGGAGUUCCCAUUGAUACUUAUAUUUCCUGUUAUACUGUACCAGACUAGCUGUUAUUGCACAUGAUUUUUCGUGGUUUUUGUGCAAAAGUUCAUUAAUUGGAAACUGAGAUUGAUUAACACCAUCUGUGCAAUGCUGUAUAUUUUGAGAAUUGUAGACUUAGUGUAGUUUUAUAAUAUUAAAUAUUACUCUUUCAAAUUCUAUACCAAAUGUAAAUGAAAAAUUUUGAGAAACGUUUUCAAUAAAUCGAAAUUUUACUCUUUUAAAA
rnacentral:misc_RNA from 1 species